rnacentral:rRNA from 1 species
AACGAACGCUGGCGGCAGGCUUAACACAUGCAAGUCGAGCGCCCCGCAAGGGGAGCGGCAGACGGGUGAGUAACGCGUGGGAAUCUACCGUACCCUACGGAAUAGCUCCGGGAAACUGGAAUUAAUACCGUAUACGCUCUACGGGGGAAAGAUUUAACGGGGUAUGAUGAGCCCGCGUUGGAUUAGCUAGUUGGUGGGGUAAAGGCCUACCAAGGCGACGAUCCAUAGCUGGUCUGAGAGGAUGAUCAGCCACAUUGGGACUGAGACACGGCCCAAACUCCUACGGGAGGCAGCAGUGGGGAAUAUUGGACAAGGGGCGCAAGCCUGAUCCAGCAAUGCCGCGUGAGUGAUGAAGGUCUUAGGAUUGUAAAGCUCUUUCACCGAUGAAGAUAAUGACGGCAGUCGGAGAAGAAGCCGCGGCUAACUUCGUGCCAGCCGCCGCGGUAA